AUACCACUUGGAAACAGGUGCUAAUACCGGAUAACAACAUGAAUCGCAUGAUUCAAGUUUGAAAGGCGGCGCAAGCUGUCACUUUAGGAUGAGCCCGCGGCGCAUUAGCUAGUUGGUGGGGUAAAGGCCUACCAAGGCAAUGAUGCGUAGCCGAGUUGAGAGACUGAUCGGCCACAUUGGGACUGAGA
rnacentral:rRNA from 1 species